CAGUCGCCACGGGAAAACAGAGGGUGCGAGCGUUAAUCGGAUUUACUGGGCGUAAAGCGCGCGUAGGUGGUUCAUUAAGUUGGAUGUGAAAGCCCUGGGCUCAACCUGGGAACUGCAUCCAAAACUGGUGAGCUAGAGUACGGUAGAGGGUAGUGGAAUUUCCUGUGUAGCGGUGAAAUGCGUAGAUAUAGGAAGGAACACCAGUGGCGAAGGCGACUACCUGGACUGAUACUGACACUGAGGUGCGAAAGCGUGGGGAGCAAACAGGAUUAGAUACCCCAGUAGUCCCUGUCUCUUAUAC
rnacentral:rRNA from 1 species